GUCGUAACAAGGUCUCCGUAGGUGAACCUGCGGAGGGAUCAUUACACAAAUAUGAAGGCGGGCUGGAACCUCUCGGGGUUACAGCCUUGCUGAAUUAUUCACCCUUGUCUUUUGCGUACUUCUUGUUUCCUUGGUGGGUUCGCCCACCACUAGGACAAACAUAAACCUUUUGUAAUUGCAAUCAGCGUCAGUAACAAAUUAAUAAUUACAACCUUCAACAACGGAUCUCUUGGUUCUGGCAUCGAUGAAGAACGCAGCGAAAUGCGAUAAGUAGUGUGAAUUGCAGAAUUCAGUGAAUCAUCGAAUCUUUGAACGCACAUUGCGCCCUUUGGUAUUCCAAAGGGCAUGCCUGUUCGAGCGUCAUUUGUACCCUCAAGCUUUGCUUGGUGUUGGGCGUCUUGUCUCUAGCUUUGCUGGAGACUCGCCUUAAAGUAAUUGGCAGCCGGCCUACUGGUUUCGGAGCGCAGCACAAGUCGCACUCUCUAUCAGCAAAGGUCUAGCAUCCAUUAAGCCUUUUUUUCAACUUUUGACCUCGGAUCAGGUAGGGAUACCCGCUGAACUUAAGCAUAUCA
rnacentral:rRNA from 1 species